rnacentral:snRNA from 1 species
GUGCUCAAUUUGGCAGCAUAUAUACUAAAAAUUGGAACAAUACAAAAAAGACUAGAAUGGCCCCUGAGCAAGGAUAACUUAUAAAUGUGUAAAGCAUUCUUUAUAUUU